UCCCUGGCAGUCCAGUGGUUGGGACUUCACACUUUUAAUGCAGGGGGUGCAGGUUCGAUCCCUGAUCAGGGAA
rnacentral:tRNA from 1 species